GUUAAUCUAGUUUAAAGUAAAAAUGUUUCUUUGUGGAAGAAAAGAUAAAAUGAAAGUUGAUUAAU
rnacentral:tRNA from 1 species